rnacentral:rRNA from 1 species
AGAGUUUGAUCCUGGCUCAGGACGAACGCUGGCGGCGCGCCUAAUGCAUGCAAGUCGAGCGACGCAUUCCUUAGCCCGUAAGGGCGGGUUUGWCGGAGCGGCGAACGGKUGCGKAACACGUGACCAAUCUACCCCGAASACCGGGAUAGCCCGGGGAAACCCGGAUUAAUACCGGAUAACCUCACCGCAACACAUGUUGGGGUGAGGAAAUGUUCAGGCGCUUCGGGAUGAGGUCGCGGYCCAUCAGCUUGUUGGUGAGGUAACGGCUCACCAAGGCCACGACGGGUAKCUGGUCUGAGAGGACGAUCAGCCACACUGGAACUGAGAUACGGUCCAGACUCCUACGGGAGGCAGCAGCAGGGAAUCUUGCGCAGUGGGCGAAAGCCUGACGCAGCGACGCCGCGUGGGGGAUGAAGGCCUUAGGGUUGUAAACCCCUUUCACGAGGGAAGAAAAUGACGGUACCUCGAAAAGAAGCCCCGGCUAACUACGUGCCAGCAGCCGCGGUAAUACGUAGGGGGCGAGCGUUGUCCGGAUUUAUUGGGCGUAAAGGGCUCGUAGGCGGCCUGACAAGUCGGCCGUGAAAACCCAGGGCUCAACCCUGGGACGCCGGUCGAUACUGUCAUGGCUAGGGUCCGGUAGAGGGGAAUGGAAUUCCCGGUGUAGCGGUGAAAUGCGCAGAUAUCGGGAGGAACACCAGUAGCGAAGGCGGUUCCCUGGGCCGGCACCGACGCUGAGGAGCGAAAGCGUGGGUAGCAAACAGGAUUAGAUACCCUGGUAGUCCACGCCGUAAACGUGGGUACUAGGCGUGGCGUCUUAUCCACGGAUGCCGUGCUCGAAGCUAACGCGUUAAGUACCCCGCCUGGGGAGUAGGGCCGCAAGGCUARAAACUCAAGGAAUUGACGGGAGCCCGCACAAGCGGCGGAGCAUGCGGCUUAAUUCGAUGCAACCCGGAGAACCUUACCUGGCUUGACAUCGCGGGAAAAAGCCUGGAGACAGGAUGUGCGAGAGCGUCCGUGACAGGUGGUGCAUGGUGUCGUCAGCUCGUGUCGUGA